AUUGAACGCUGGCGGCAUGCCUUACACAUGCAAGUCGAACGAGCGGCGAACGGGUGAGUAAUAUAUUGGAACGUACCGAGUAAUGGGGGAUAACCAAUCGAAAGAUUGGCUAAUACCGCAUAUUAUUCGAGUGGCCGAUAACUGAUUAGCUAUGUGGUGGGGUAAAGGCCUACCCAGGCGACGAUCAGUAGCGGGGCUGAGAGGCCGAUCCGCCACACGGGGACUGAGACACGGCCCAGACUCCUACGUGAGGCAGCAGUGGGGAAUUUUGGACAAUGGGGGCAACCCUGAUCCAGCCAUGCCGCGUGUAUGAAGAAGGCCUUCGGGUUGUAAAGUACUUUUGUUAGGGAAGCGGUACCUAAAGAAUAAGCACCGGCUAACUACGUGCCAGCAGCCGCGGUAAUAC
rnacentral:rRNA from 1 species